GUCACUUUUAUCGAUACGAACAGCUGCCACUAUUCUACCUGGUUAAAUGGGAUUCCUAAAAUUCAACGUAUUCAAUUAAAACAAAAUUGCACUAAUGCAGAACUUUUCUCCAAACACGCCUAUUUCCUCAAGAUAAACUCGAGAAGAAAUAUGAAAAAUGGCUAGAUCUUAGGUCAAGGGCAGGGUCUUCUUUACCUUUUGUAGUGGUCUGUGCAUAGUGUAUAUGCUACCCUAAAUGUACAGCGCUGCAGAACAUAUUGGCACUUCAUAAAUGCCAGUAAUACAUAAAGACAUUGGACUACUGGACAGAAAAAUUACCCCAAUAUCAGAAUCUGAAAAAAUAGGACAUUACAGUACCUCUUAUUACUCAUUCCAAUGUACAUGUAUAAUGACUCGACCAUUUUUUUG